AUUGAACGCUGGCGGCAGGCCUAACACAUGCAAGUCGAACGAGUGGCGGAUGAGUGUGUAAAGUAUGGGAAACUGCUCGACGGAGGGGGAGAAUUAUUGGAAACGGGAGUUAAUACCGCAUACCAUCGGAUGUGCCCAGAUGGGCUUAGCCGGUAGGGGGGGUAAUGGCUCACCUAGGCGACGAGCCCUAGCUGGUCUAAGAGGAUGACCAGCCACACUGGAACUGAGACACGGUCCAGACUCCUACGGGAGGCAGCAGUGGGGAAUAUUGCACAAUGGGCGCAAGCCUGAUGCAGCCAUGCCGCGUGUAUGAAGAAGGCCUUCGGGUUGUAAAGUACUUUCAGCGAGGAGGCGUUACUCGCAGAGGAAGCACCUGCUAACUCCGUGCCAGCAGCCGCGGUAAUUC
rnacentral:rRNA from 1 species